rnacentral:misc_RNA from 1 species
CCUUCUCUGUCUUCCAUAUUUUUUCUUUGCCUUCUAACCCUAAACCAUAACAGCCAUAACUUCCGGCGCCACCACCUCCAGCCCUUAAUCUCUCCAUGCAUGACAGCCACCGCAUCACAAUCUUCAAUCGCUUUGUUUUCCUUUUUCUCACUCCUCUCUGUCGCCUCUUUCCCCAACGCCCAAUCUAACCCUAACCCAUACUCCCUGUCCUUUUCCGUGUUCUCCUACUUCUCAGUUUUUCAACAGAAAAAGUUAUCCUAACCCUAGACAACAAUUCCUUUGUUGUCUUCUUCUCAACGAAAAAAUCUAUGGAAUUAACAAGAUGGCAGCAAUACAUUCCCAUUUUCGAAGAAAUUAGGAAAUAGAAAAUAUCAAACACAGCAUCUCUACUAUCCAGUCCACUAAUUUGACAUGCACGUCUAUUUUUGACUUACCAGCUCUGAUGCAAGUUGAUCAGAAGGAAACUAGUAUUAUUCCAAGGGAUGAUGUGCAAAAUGGCGAAUUUUUACAGUCGCAAUCCAUAAUCUACGCUUCUAAGAAGCUUCAAGAUGAUCUACACGUGUUGGGACUCAAAAUCAAGCAGCAUGAGAAUAAUGUAAAGUUUCUGAAAAAUGAGAAAAAUAAAUUAGAAGAUUCCAUUCUGGACUUGCAAGUUAUUCUUGGUAAGUAUCAUUCUGCAACCCAGCCUAACAUUGAAAAUGAUCGCCGCUCGUCCAAUCAGAGUGAGGAGGAAACGACAGAACAGAUUCUACAGCAUGAAAAGUCUGCUGCAGGCAUUCUGUGUCAGCUGAGAUUGCACUAUGGCACUUGUGCUUCUCAUCUUACAUUGACCAAGGAUGUGCUUGGCAUUGUUGCUACGCUUGGCAAAGUCAAUGAUGAUAACCUUAGCAGGCUUCUUUCAGAGUACUUAGGAGUAGAGACUAUGUUGGCAAUUGUCUGUAAGACUUAUGAAGGUGUUACAGCUCUUGAAACAUAUGACAAAGAAGGCCACAUAAAUAAUGACUCUGGUCUUCAUGGCCUUGGUGCUUCUAUUGGGAGGGCUCUGAGUGGUCGAUUUCUUGUCAUUUGUCUUGAAAAUUUAAGGCAUGAAUCUCUUAAUAUGUCUUUUUGCAACCUAGAAUUUCAGUUUGUAAAAAUUCCAAAAGCAUUUUUUCCCCUUUUGUAGACCUUUUUGCGGCGAAUUUAUGGCUGAUGACACACAAAGGAGGCUUGAUCUUCUAAAUCCAAAAUUGCCCAAUGGGGAGUGCCCACCUGGAUUUAUUGGCUUUGCUGUAAAUAUGAUCCAUGUGGAUUCUACAAGCUUGUUUUAUGUCACAUCCAGUGGAUAUGGCCUCCGGGAGACUCUAUUCUAUAACCUGUUCUCUCGUCUGCAAGUUUAUAAAAGUAGGGAAGACAUGUUGCUUGCUCUUCCUUGUAUAACUGAUGGAGCCAUUUCAUUGGAUGGAGGGAUGAUUAAGGCUACUGGUUUAUUUUCCCUAGGCAAUCGGAAUGAUGUGGAUGUAAGAUUCCCAAAACCUUCUCUGGCUGCGAAUUUACCUGACAACUACAGUGAAACUGAGAAGCAGCUCUCGGGGAUGAAAUGGAAAAAGGACAAAUUGAUGGAGGAUGUUAAGCGAGAACAAUCACUGCUGAAUGCUGCAAAGUACAGCUUUGAGAGGAAGAAGGAAGAGUUUGUUAAGUUUCUGGCUGAAAGCUCAGCAUACGCAACUCAGACCCAUUUCCGCGACCGCGACCACGACCACGACCACGACCACGAUUUAAAGCCAUGCUGGUCAUUACAACUCUAAUCUUCUGUGGCUUUGAAUUUACCUAAUAAGUAUGGUGAAACUGAGUGGAAAAAGGAUGCAAUGACAAUGUUAAGCUAGAGCAAGCACUUCCUCUGGAUGUCACCAUCAUCACUGAAAAUAUUAAAAAAAUUUGACAAUGUAGAGCUUGAGAACUUGUAGAUCUUGCCUGCCAGAAUAUGAUUGCUGCAAUAUCCACAUGGCAGAGCAUUGAUAAAUUUCAAGCAUUUUUCAUUAAUCUGCUCCUUUUGGAGAAUGUCACUUGCCUGCUACUUGUCCUUUGACUCACUUCAGCUGCAUCUUUCCACUCCCCAUUUUACCGUUACUAAGCCAAGAACCACAGUCGUCGAUCUGAUUUAGCUGCACCUUCCAUCUUUGGUCCUUGAACCAAUCUAGGGCUACUGGCUACACUGUUGUGGGUUGGGUUUGGGGCUGAGGGAAGGGGAAUGGCAGGGGAGAAAAGGUUUGAGGUUGGGGAUUGAGGAGAGAGAGGGAAACAAUAAAAACUUCUUAAAAAAUUACUUUUAGUUAAUUUUAGUAAAUAUUAUUUUUAUUUUCAAUUUUGACUACUGUGUGAAAUUGAUAACGACUUUGCUAUUCAGUAAAUUAGCCAAAAAAUAAAAGAUUUGGGUGAAAUUGAAAUAGUACACGAAGGUUGUGGUUUAUGCUUUAGGCCCAAAAAAAAAAUGGUAAUGAAACUUGUGCAAAUAAUUUUUUGUGGUAAAUCAGUGGGUUAAUACUAUCUUCAGUUGCACUUCUACCUGUCUAAAUGCAAAAUGUUGAAUGGACUGCCAUGUUGAUAGUGAUAUUUGCUCUUAACUAGUUGUCAGUGUUUGGAACUAUUCAUAUUGUACGCAUUAGAUUGCAAUGAAUUAAUUUUAUUCAUGUAGUUGUGUUGCAUUUCCCAGAAAAUGUAUAUAAUAUAGUUCUCAUGUAUAGUUUUUAAUAUAAUGGCUGCAUCAGAUGCAAGCAGGACAUGACAAUUUCAACCCCAGAUGAUAUUUAGACGGAAGAAAUCCUGUUUUUUAAGAGGAUAGGAACUCAAAUGACUGACAUUGUCAAUUUAUAGUGAAGUAUUUCUCUUAACCGUUCUACUUUCUGGGUCUGGAUGAAGAAUUGUCUUGCUACAAGACGGUAGCGUGCAUUUUUCAGUUUCUGAUGUAAAUUGAUUCUGCAAAUUCAGUGUCCUGAAGCACAGCUGGUUUAUAGGCCUCCCUCAGUUGUUGAUAUGCUUGAGGGAAGGCUCUAAUCCCCAAUUGUCCAACGAAGAUGGAUUUUCCUUAAAGUUCUGUUCGUAUCAAUUGUAGUCUCCCUUUCUUUUGUUUGUUUUAGGACACUGAAUUUUCCUUUUAAGUUCUGUUGGUGCUCUGUCAACCAGAUUGUAUAUACAUGUCAUAAUCCGAGGCUGUUAAUUUUGUAACAUUCUUGCUGAAACAGUUUUAUGAUCAACAGGUAUGUUUUUAACCAUGAGUUUGCAGCUUCAAUUUUCAAUUUGGAUGUUUGAAUAGCCUAAUGUGUUGGUUGGACAUGGUGUAAGAGUUAAAAAGUAGAUUAGCCAUCAUCCACGUGUACAGAUGGUUCAAUCUGAUUUCCGGCAGUGGCAAUGUUGGUUUCUUUUGUUAUUUUAGUCUACAGAAGCAUGAACAUUUCUAUAAAAGCGUGUCAGAUUUAUUACGAAC